rnacentral:rRNA from 1 species
AACGAACGCUGGCGGCAUGCCUAACACAUGCAAGUCGAACGAGACCUUCGGGUCUAGUGGCGCACGGGUGCGUAACGCGUGGGAACCUGCCCUUAGGUUCGGAAUAACUCCCCGAAAGGGGUGCUAAUACCGGAUAAUGUCUUCGGACCAAAGAUUUAUCGCCUUUGGAUGGGCCCGCGUUGGAUUAGCUAGUUGGUAGGGUAAAAGCCUACCAAGGCGACGAUCCAUAGCUGGUCUGAGAGGAUGAUCAGCCACACUGGGACUGAGACACGACCCAGACUUCUACGGGAGGCAGCAGUGGGGAAUAUUGGACAAGGGGCGAAAGCCUGAUCCAGCAAUGCCGCGUGAGUGAUGAAGGCCUUAGGGUUGUAAAGCUCUUUUACCCGGGAUGAUAAUGACAGUACCGGGAGAAUAAGCUCCGGCGAACUCCG